rnacentral:rRNA from 1 species
CACGUAGGGCGCAAGCGUUGUCCGGAAUUAUUGGGCGUAAAGAGCUCGUAGGCGGUCUGUUACGUCUGCUGUGAAAACCCGGGGCUUAACCCUGGGCUUGCAGUGGAUACGGGCAGACUAGAGGCAGGUAGGGGAGAAUGGAAUUCCCGGUGUAGCGGUGAAAUGCGCAGAUAUCGGGAGGAACACCGGUGGCGAAGGCGGCGCUCUGGGCCGGAACUGACGCUGAGGAGCGAAAGCGUGGGUAGCAAACAGG